UGCGUAGGCGGCGGGGAAAGUCAGAUGUGAAAUCCGGAGGCUCAACCUCCGAAUUGCAUCCGAUACUACCUCGCUAGAGAUUUGUAGAGGAGCUUGGAAUUCUCGGUGUAGCAGUGAAAUGCGUAGAUAUCGAGAAGAACGCUCGCAGCGAAGGCGAAGCUCUGGGCAAAUUCUGACGCUGAUGCACGAAGGCUAGGGGAGCAAACG
rnacentral:rRNA from 1 species